rnacentral:lncRNA from 1 species
AUGGGAAUUGGGGAGGGGGGUGACAAUCACGGAGAGAGGAGUGAGGCUGGGGAGAUGACCCAGAGACACAGAACUGUGGUGGGGGCUGCGGGAGAGCAUCCUGAGAAGAGAGAGAGAGAAAAACAGAAAGGACAGAGAAGACCUAAAGUAGAAAAAGAAUCUGGAGCAGUGGGGGAGCAGUGGGGAGCAGGAGAUCGGCCUGGGGAUUCCAGACACGCACGGCGGGAACGGGGGGCUCCACACACACAGCAAACCGGGGAGUCCAGAGACAAAGAGAAUGGGGGGCCCAGAAGCGGAAAAGCCGACCGGGGAGAAGCUGGGAGGGCGGGCCUGAGACAGCGGGACAGAACGGGGCGGAGGGGUCAACCUGAGCCCAACGAGAGGAAGCCUGCCGGCGGCUCACACACACCCAGACGGAAGGGAGGGCCUAAGACAGACAGACAGACGGAAGGCAGCCGCGGGAGGAGGGUCCACGGCGACGCGGGGGGAGGGCGGGGGAGGGUUCACGCACUCGGGGACAGGACGGGGGAAGGCGGCCCCUCCCAGCCCCCUUCCCAGCCGCCUUCGGUGCGGGCCUCCCCGCUCGGGGCGCUGGAGGCGAUCGCGGCCGGGCCGGGGGACCGCUGGGCCCCCGCGCCCGCUCCCCUCCCCCCUCCCGUCCGCCGGCACGCGCCCUCCGCCCCCACCCCUACGCUCCAACGGCCGGCACUCAGCGAGCCGGGCGCGCUCCCUCCCCACGCCCUCCCCCCUCCCUCCCUCCCCCGGCUCGCCGCGCUCCGCCACGCCGGGCCGCCGCGCGUCCCCACACCCAGCCCGGCUCGCGCCGGCGCCCCGCCCCGAGAGCAUUCUUCGCUCCCUUCGCUCCCCGCUCCCUUCCCUCCCCGAGCUCUCCUCACCGAGCUUUUUCCUCCGGCCUCGGCGCCGCCGUUUGUGCCAGCCGCCCAGCGCCGCACAGCGCGCCAUACCCCGCCCCCACCUCCCGCGACGCUCCGCCCCCGCCUCGCCCGGUGGGCACGUGACCGCGCCCGCGGAGGACACCGCGCGUGCGCAGGCGCGAGCCGCGCGGGGCGGAGCAAGGUAGCGCAGGACAACCCCCCCCGCCCCCCGAGAGAGGGGAAAUGGGUCGGUCGCCAACGGGAGGCUCAUUUGCGUGCUGCGCUCCGCCCCUUACGGGCGAGGAGCGGGAAGGCCUGA